AGUGAACGCUGGCGGUAGGCCUAACACAUGCAAGUCGAACGGCAGCACAGGAGAGCUUGCUCUCUGGGUGGCGAGUGGCGGACGGGUGAGGAAUACAUCGGAAUCUACUCUGUCGUGGGGGAUAACGUAGGGAAACUUACGCUAAUACCGCAUACGACCUACGGGUGAAAGCAGGGGACCUUCGUGCCUUGCGCGAUUGAAUGAGCCGAUGUCGGAUUAGCUAGUUGGCGGGGUAAAGGCCCGCCAAGGCGACGAUCCGUAGCUGGUCUGAGAGGAUGAUCAGCCACACUGGAACUGAGACACGGUCCAGACUCCUACGGGAGGCAGCAGUGGGGAAUAUUGGACAAUGGGCGCAAGCCUGAUCCAGCCAUACCGCGUGGGUGAAGAAGGCCUUCGGGUUGUAAAGCCCUUUUGUUGGGAAAGAAAUCCAGCUGGCUAAUACCCGGUUGGGAUGACGGUACCCAAAGAAUAUGCACCGGCUAACUUCGUGCCAGCAGCCGCAGUAA
rnacentral:rRNA from 1 species